AACGAACGCUGGCGGCAGGCUUAACACAUGCAAGUCGAGCGCCCCGCAAGGGGAGCGGCAGACGGGUGAGUAACACGUGGGGAUCUGCCCAAUGGUACGGAAUAGCUCCGGGAAACUGGAAUUAAUACCGUAUGUGCCCGCAAGGGGAAAGAUUUAUCGCCAUUGGAUGAACCCGCGUCGGAUUAGCUAGUUGGUGGGGUAAAGGCGCACCAAGGCGACGAUCCGUAGCUGGUGUGGGAGGAUGAUCAGCCACACUGGGACUGAGACACGGCCAAGACGCCUGCGGGAGGGAGCAGUGGGGAAGAUUGGACAAUGGGCGCAAGCCUCAUCCAGCCAUGCCGCGUGGGGGAUGAAGGCCUUAGGGUUGUAAAGCACUUGCGCCGGCGAAGAUAAUGACGCGAGUCGGAGAAGAAGCCCCGGCUAACUUCGUGCCAGCAGUCGCGGUAA
rnacentral:rRNA from 1 species